AGAACGCUAUGAUGGUGGAACAUACUUCCUAGUCUAGUUUGAAUGUGAGAUAUGUUAUCUAUCUCAUG
rfam:Lactobacillus diolivorans DSM 14421 NODE_116, whole genome shotgun sequence.